AUUGAACGCUGGCGGCAUGCGUAACACAUGCAAGUCGAACGGUGUUUGGUGCUUGCACCAGACAUAGUGGCGGACGGGUGAGUAAUGCGUAGGAAUCUGUCUUAGAGAGGGGGACAACCCGAGGAAACUUGGGCUAAAACCGCAUAUUCUCGAGAGAGGAAAGCAGGGGACCGGAAACGGCCUUGUGCUCUAAGGUGAGCCUACAUCGGAUUAGCUAGUUGGUAGGGUAAAAGCCUACCAAGGCGAUGAUCUGUAGCUGGUCUGAGAGGACGGACAGCCACACUGGGACUGAGACACGGCCCAGACUCCUACGGGAGGCAGCAGUGGGGAAUAUUGGACAAUGGGGGGAACCCUGAUCCAGCGAUGCCGCGUGUGUGAAGAAGGCCUGCGGGUUGUAAAGCACUUUCAGUGGGAAAGAGAAGCGUCUUGUGAAUAAUGGGACGUGGAGACGUUACUCACAGAAGAAGCACCGGCUAAACUCUGUGCCAGCAGCCGCGGUAAU
rnacentral:rRNA from 1 species